rnacentral:tmRNA from 1 species
GGAUAGCCGGAUUCGAAGCCUGCUGAUGGGCGUCGGAUGAGGCGAAACAACAAAACAUCAGCUGCGCUCGGAGAAAUUCUUGAGGAAGCGCUUUCGGACGUGAGUUCGACUCUCACCACCUCCACCA